rnacentral:lncRNA from 1 species
ACAUUUCUGCUUUCGGAGGCCGGGCCUUUGCUGGACAGCAGCCCUCGAGAAUCCCCUAGGCCUCCCCCUUCCUUCCUUCCUUCCUUCCUUCCUUCCUUCCUUCCUUCCUUCCUUCCUUCCUUCCUUCCUUCCUUCCUUCCACCAUGCAACACGGUCUUCCCUGCCUUGCCCUGUGCGGUAAUUUUUACGGAGGACUCGCGGCCUUCACUCCUGGGUCGUUGGCUGCAAAACCAGCCCCAAGGUUGCGUCCACCUUAAGCCUGCCCUGACAUGUUUCUCUUCUUGCAGUCUUGGGGUCAAACAAAACGCGUGGCUUCCCUUUCAGGAGCCUCCAGGAUCCGCUGUCGGAGUCGCCUGGAUGUCCCUCUAUCCCUCCUCGGUGCUGCGAUCUUUGCCAUUUCUCCCCAGAUAACACCGGCAAGCGACUGGAUUCCUCCCCGGCUCCCCCCGCGAUGGCUUGGCGUGGAAACGGGGGUAGAAGGAGAACCGAGGCCGCAGGAUCCGCCGGCUGAGAAGGCGGAGGCGAUUGCGGGGUUUCAGCCCGCCGUCGAUCAAAGCCUGGACAGGUUCCUCCGCCCGCAGCAGGAGCAAAGAAGGGAGGUCAAGGGCCCGGGAGUAGCCCGGGAGGGAGGUUAUCUCGGGGGACUUCCACCCGCUCCCUCUCGCUCUCCCUCUCGGUCUGGCUCUUUCUCUCAUCCCCCUCAUCCUUCUGCGCACUCCCCCGCCCCGUCCGCAGCCCAGAGCCGUCUUGGCUAUCGAGCCGACACCCUGGCGCAGCCGGUGGAAGGAAGGCUCCAUCUCUGGCAACAGAACCACACAUCUGCCUCCCGCCCCACCCCUCCCCUCCUCGGGGGCCUCAGGAGGGGAGGAGGGGGCGGCUGGCUGCCUGCCUGCCUGCCUGCCUGCCUCGGUGGGGGAGCAGGCGCGAUCUCUCCCGAAGAAAGAUGCUUUUCAGAGCUCUCUCACCUCCGCCCGACGCGUCUCGCGAGGAAAAGGAUGAAAAGAACCAGGGUCGAUUCUCCCGAGACUCCUUUGGGAAGGUCCCCUCCGGAGCCUACUUCCUCGCCAGGCUUUGAAGGGAGUCCGCGCCCGGUGCUCGUGCGCUCGCCUGCUCCGAGGCGCCCUGAGGGGCCAAGAGAUGAUUAAAAGCAAUGGCUGCUUGGGAAAAAGGAGAACGUGGGAACCAGGGCUGAUCAGAGUCACCAAGCCUGUAGAAGAAAAUCUUCCUUCCUUCCUUCCUUCC